rnacentral:rRNA from 1 species
AGAGUUUGAUCAUGGCUCAGAUUGAACGCUGGCGGCAGGCCUAACACAUGCAAGUCGAACGGUAGCAGGAUGUGCUUGCACAUCGCUGACGAGUGGCGGACGGGUGAGUAAUGCUUGGGAACUUGCCUUUGCGAGGGGGAUAACAGUUGGAAACGACUGCUAAUACCGCAUAAUGUCUACGGACCAAACGGGGCUUAGGCUCCGGCGCAAAGAGAGGCCCAAGUGAGAUUAGCUAGUUGGUGGGGUAAAGGCUCACCAAGGCAACGAUCUCUAGCUGUUCUGAGAGGAAGAUCAGCCACACUGGGACUGAGACACGGCCCAGACUCCUACGGGAGGCAGCAGUGGGGAAUAUUGCACAAUGGGGGAAACCCUGAUGCAGCCAUGCCGCGUGUGUGAAGAAGGCCUUCGGGUUGUAAAGCACUUUCAGUUGUGAGGAAAAGUUAGUAGUUAAUACCUGCUAGCCGUGACGUUAACAACAGAAGAAGCACCGGCUAACUCCGUGCCAGCAGCCGCGGUAAUACGGAGGGUGCGAGCGUUAAUCGGAAUUACUGGGCGUAAAGCGCACGCAGGCGGUUUGUUAAGCUAGAUGUGAAAGCCCCGGGCUCAACCUGGGGAUGGUCAUUUAGAACUGGCAGACUAGAGUCUUGGAG